rnacentral:rRNA from 1 species
AGCAUAUAAGUAAGCGGAGGACAAGAAACUAAAUAGGAUUCCCUCAGUAAUGGCGAAUGAACAGGGAACAGCUCAGCAUGGAAAUCGGGGCCUCCCGGCCUUGAAUUGUAGUCUGGAGAUGUACUGCCAACAGAGGCGCAGAUGUAAGCCUCUUGGAAAAGAGCAUCAACGAGGGUGAGAGUCCCGUUUGUCAUCUGCAGUCCCCUGUGCACGGUGUGCAUUCUAAGAGUCGCGUUCCUCGGGAUUGGAGCGUAAAGCGGGUGGUAAAUUUCAUCUAAAGCUAAAUAUUGGUUCGAGACCGAUAGCAAACAAGUACCAUGAGGGAAAGGUGAAAAGGACUUUGAAAAGAGAGUUAAAAGUGCCUGAAAUUGCUGAAAGGGAAGCGAAUGGAACCAGUGUUCUUGGCGAGAUUGUCGCGCGCUCUGGUGAUUGCUGGCUGUCCUAGCGCAAGCGGGGCAGUUAGUUUUGAUCUAGCGGCGCGCGGUGUUUCUUACCUUGUGUGUCACCGUCGGCUCAUAAGCGAGGAAAACUCCAGGACCAUGGUAGUUCGGCUACGGUUGAGCGAAUGGGCUUGGUAGUACUCAUUUGUGAGUCGAUUCCAGCGUGUCUGGUUGCAGUGUUCGCUUCGUCUUUGGAUUGUUGGUUGAGGGCUUGCCCCGACACAUCAGCAGCUCCUUGGGCGCGGUGGGCGCUUCCCUGACACAAAGACGAUGACUAAAUGGUUCUAUUCGACCCGUCUUGA